GUCUCUUCGGGGACAUCCGAUAAAAUUGGAACGAUACAGAGAAUAUUAGCAUGGCCCCUGCACAAGAAUGAAACGCACAAAUCGAAAAAGAAACUCAAUAAUA
rfam:Triticum aestivum genome assembly, contig: Triticum_aestivum_CS42_TGACv1_scaffold_274214_3DS